GUCUAUGGCCAUGCUACCCUGAACGAGCCUGAUCCCAUCUGAUCUCAGAAGUUAAGCAGGGUCAGGCCUGGUUAGUACUUGGAUGGGAGACCACCUAGGAAGACCAGGUGCUGUAGGUG
rnacentral:rRNA from 1 species